rnacentral:lncRNA from 1 species
GCCAUAAUAAGGCCUACCAAGGGCGGACCCACCUUAUAGCAAGGUGUGUCGUCCGAUGCUUCUUCAUCGAAAAUAUUAAUCAAUAGAUACAUCAAAUCUGGGGAAAAAAAACAGUUUGUAUAUAAAUAUGCAAUGACACAGCUUUAGCAAAGAGCACUAUGGUCUGUUCGUUAGGCGCCUAUCUAAUAAGGUUCUCUCUUGGACAGAGGUGGAUCCAGAAUUUUAAACUUGUGGGUUCCCAAGGUCUUUCCUGCCACUAAGCUAUCCCUUGGUUUAGUUAUGGGUUCCCACCUAUUAAUAUUUAUAACUUUUGGCGAUUUUUCUAUGUAAUUUUAAGCCUUACGGUAGCGAGUGUGGGUUCCCGGGAACCCACACCUUCUACUCUACAUCCGCCACUGCUCUUGGAGAUCGAACCCCAUUGGCAGCACAAUUUUGAGUUUUUUGUUUCUAUAGGUAGUAAUUGCUAAAACAUAGCAAGCUAUUAUUAGUUAAUAGGAUUUGAAUCCCCUAAAGCUCACUCCUCAAGCUAAACCUAAAAUCUAACGUCAAAAACAAUUAACCAUUCUUUGCCCUAUUUUGUUCAUCUAUUUUCUAUGUUAAAUGUCGACACUGCUUAUAAAAAAAUUCUAGUAUGCCACUGAGGCGUACAACUACUUGAGUAAUCUGGAAGUGAAGUUUCAUAUUUCAGAAUUUAAAUUCUAUUCAUGAGAAAAAGUAAAUUUCUUCCAGUGUUUGUAAUUAGAACCGUAAAUGGUAAUCACUUAAGAAUCUACAUACUCGCAGUCCGAUGGAAGUUGCACCAGGUAUAACUUCACCUAUUAAUAUUUAUAACUUUUGGCGAUUUUUCUAUGUAAUUUUAAGCCUUACGGUAGCGAGUGUGGGUUCCCGGGAACCCACACCUUCUACUCUACAUCCGCCACUGCUCUUGGAGAUCGAACCCCAUUGGCAGCACAAUUUUGAGUUUUUUGUUUCUAUAGGUAGUAAUUGCUAAAACAUAGCAAGCUAUUAUUAGUUAAUAGGAUUUGAAUCCCCUAAAGCUCACUCCUCAAGCUAAACCUAAAAUCUAACGUCAAAAACAAUUAACCAUUCUUUGCCCUAUUUUGUUCAUCUAUUUUCUAUGUUAAAUGUCGACACUGCUUAUAAAAAAAUUCUAGUAUGCCACUGAGGCGUACAACUACUUGAGUAAUCUGGAAGUGAAGUUUCAUAUUUCAGAAUUUAAAUUCUAUUCAUGAGAAAAAGUAAAUUUCUUCCAGUGUUUGUAAUUAGAACCGUAAAUGGUAAUCACUUAAGAAUCUACAUACUCGCAGUCCGAUGGAAGUUGCACCAGGUAUAACUUCACUACCAAAGUCAUUUGCUGCAGGAAACCUUUCCCGAAGUAGGUUUAACAUCACAUCUUUGCUUACGACAUAAAUACCCAUACUUGCAAUAUAUGGCUUCUCUCUAGCUUUUUCGUCAUCAAGGCCUAAAAUAGUAGU